rnacentral:rRNA from 1 species
UACGGGAGGCAGCAGUGGGGAAUAUUGCACAAUGGGCGCAAGCCUGAUGCAGCCAUGCCGCGUGUAUGAAGAAGGCCUUCGGGUUGUAAAGUACUUUCAGUCGUGAGGAAGGUGUUAAGGUUAAUAACCUUAGCAAUUGACGUUAGCGACAGAAGAAGCACCGGCUAACUCCGUGCCAGCAGCCGCGGUAAUACGGAGGGUGCGAGCGUUAAUCGGAAUUACUGGGCGUAAAGGGCACGCAGGCGGUUAAUUAAGUUGGAUGUGAAAUCCCCGGGCUUAACCUGGGAAUGGCAUUCAAGACUGGUUAGCUAGAGUCUUGUAGAGGGGGUAGAAUUCCAUGUGUAGCGGUGAAAUGCGUAGAGAUGUGGAGGAAUACCGGUGGCGAAAGGCGGCCCCUGGACAAAGACUGACGCUCAUGUGCGAAAAGCGUGGGGAGCAAACAGGAUUAGAUACC